rfam:Trichoderma gamsii strain T6085 Scaffolds0011.1, whole genome shotgun sequence.
GCGGCCUUAGCUCAGCUGGGAGAGCGUCAGACUGAAGUUCCAACUUCAAGUCACUUGAUAUCUGAAGGUCGUGUGUUCGAUCCACACAGGCCGCA